GUGCUCACUUCGGCAGUACAUAUACUAAAAUUGGAAAUUUACUGAGACUAGCAUGGCCCCUGUGCAAAGAUGACAUGGUAAUUCCUGAAACGUUCCAUAUGUUU
ensembl:snRNA U6 U6 spliceosomal RNA